UCCCAAAUAGCUUAGUUGGUAGAGCGUUAAACUAAAGAUCUAAUGAUUCGUCUAGUUUCAAAAUCACUUGAUUAGGUA